GUGGUAAUGCCGGAUGCUCCGGUUGGAUGCAUGUCCUUCCGGGAAAGAUUCUAUCGGUAUGGGAUGGGGUCGCGUCCUAUCAGCUUGAUGGCGGGGUAACGGCCCACCAUGGCUUCGACGGGUAGCCGGCCUGAGAGGGCGACCGGCCACAUUGGGACUGAGAUACGGCCCAGACUCCUACGGGAGGCAGCAGUGGGGAAUAUUGCACAAUGGGCGCAAGCCUGAUGCAGCGACGCCGCGUGCGGGAUGGAGGCCUUCGGGUUGUAAACCGCUUUUGAUCGGGAGCAAGCCCUUCGGGGUGAGUGUACCUUUCGAAUAAGCACCGGCUAACUACGUGCCAGCAGCCGCGGUAAUACGUAGGGUGCAAGCGUUAUCCGGAAUUAUUGGGCGUAAAGGGCUCGUAGGCGGUUCGUCGCGUCCGGUGUGAAAGCCCAUCGCUUAACGGUGGGUCUGCGCCGGGUACGGGCGGGCUGGAGUGCGGUAGGGGAGACUGGAAUUCCCGGUGUAACGGUGGAAUGUGUAGAUAUCGGAAAAGAACACCA
rnacentral:rRNA from 1 species